rnacentral:rRNA from 1 species
AGAGUUUGAUCCUGACUCAGAACGAACGCUGGCGGCGUGCCUAACACAUGCAAGUCCAACGUGAAAGGGGAGCAAUCCCCCGGUAGGGUGGCAAACGGGUGAGUAAUACAUGGGUGAUCUACCUUAGGGAUGGGGAUAUCCUUCCGAAAGGAGGGGCAAUACCGAAUAUUGUCCGGAGCCGUGAAGGGUUCCGGGGAAAGGGAGGCCUCUGAUACAAGCUUUCGCCUUAAGAUGAGCCCAUGGCCCAUCAGCUAGUUGGUAGGGUAAAGGCCUACCAAGGCUACGACGGGUCGCUGGUCUGAGAGGACGACCAGCCACACUGGCACUGAGAUACGGGCCAGACUCCUACGGGAGGCAGCAGUGAGGAAUAUUGCGCAAUGGGGGAAACCCUGACGCAGCAACGCCGCGUGUGGGAAGAAGGCCUUCGGGUCGUAAACCACUUUUGCACGGGACGAAAAAGGGAUAUCGAACAAAUAUCCCCGAUGACGGUACCGUGAGAAUAAGCCACGGCUAACUCUGUGCCAGCAGCCGCGGUAAGACAGAGGUGGCAAGCGUUGUUCGGAACUACUGGGCGUAAAGAGUCUGUAGGUGGUUUGUCAAGUCUUUGGUGAAAGGCCGUAGCUUAACUAUGGGAAUGCCAAAGAGACUGGCAGGCUGGAGGCUGGGAGAGGGAAGCGGAAUUUCUGGUGUAGCGGUGAAAUGCGUAGAUAUCAGAAGGAAGGCCGGUGGCGAAGGCGGCUUCCUGGAACAGUCCUG